rnacentral:rRNA from 1 species
UACGAAGGGGGCUAGCGUUGCUCGGAAUCACUGGGCGUAAAGGGUGCGUAGGCGGGUCUUUAAGUCAGAGGUGAAAUCCUGGAGCUCAACUCCAGAACUGCCUUUGAUACUGAAGAUCUUGAGUUCGGGAGAGGUGAGUGGAACUGCGAGUGUAGAGGUGAAAUUCGUAGAUAUUCGCAAGAACACCAGUGGCGAAGGCGGCUCACUGGCCCGAUACUGACGCUGGGGCACGAAAGCGUGGGGAGCAAACAGG